GCUGCACCCUUUCUUCGUUCCUAAUACAUGCAAGUCGAGCGAACAGACGAGGAGCUUGCUCCUUUGACGUUAGCGGCGGACGGGUGAGUAACACGUGGGUAACCUACCUAUAAGACUGGGAUAACUUCGGGAAACCGGAGCUAAUACCGGAUAAUAUUUCGAACCGCAUGGUUCGAUAGUGAAAGAUGGCUUUGCUAUCACUUAUAGAUGGACCUGCGCCGUAUUAGCUAGUUGGUAAGGUAACGGCUUACCAAGGCAACGAUACGUAGCCGACCUGAGAGGGUGAUCGGCCACACUGGAACUGAGACACGGUCCAGACUCCUACGGGAGGCAGCAGUAGGGAAUCUUCCGCAAUGGGCGAAAGCCUGACGGAGCAACGCCGCGUGAGUGAUGAAGGUCUUCGGAUCGUAAAACUCUGUUAUUAGGGAAGAACAAACGUGUAAGUAACUGUGCACGUCUUGACGGUACCUAAUCAGAAAGCCACGGCUAACUACGUG
rnacentral:rRNA from 1 species